rnacentral:misc_RNA from 1 species
UGAAGGUCUAAUAGAACUCUGCGCU